rnacentral:rRNA from 1 species
GGACCANUCGGAGGAAGGUGUGGACGACGUCAAGUCAUCAUGCCCCUUACGUUCUGGGCUACACACGUACUACAAUGCAACGGACCAAAGGGCAGCCAANCUAGCGAUAGUGAGCUAAUCCCAUAAACCGUUGCUCAGUUCAGAUUGCAGGCUGCAACUCGCCUGCAUGAAGGAGGAAUCGCUAGUAAUCGCAGGUCAGCAUACUGCGGUGAAUACGUUCCCGGGCCUUGUACACACCGCCCGUCACACCAUGGAAGUUGGCCAUGCCCGAAGUCGUUACCCUAACCGUUCGCGGAGGGGGGCGCCGAAGGCAGGGCUGAUGACUGGGGUGAAGUCGUAACAAGGUAGCCGUACCGGAAGGUGUGGCUGGAUCACCUCCUUUAAGGGAGACCUACCCAAUUGACUCCGAACUUUUUUAUUAGGAGUAAUUGUGGUCACUCUAGGUCGUGCAGGAUUUAAGAGUCUCAGGCUAUUGUUUAGGUUCAUUACUCGAGGAGAGUAUUGGGGCUAUUAGCUCAGGUGGUUAGAGCGCACCCCUGAUAAGGGUGAGGUCCCUGGUUCGAGUCCAGGAUGGCCCACUGGGAUGGGGGUAUAGCUCAGUUGGUAGAGCGCCUGCUUUGCAAGCAGGAUGUCAGCGGUUCGAGUCCGCUUACCUCCACCAAUUUCCCAAUAGAGAUAACUUCAGCACCCUGUGAAUUAGGCGUUUAGUCUAAUGUUGUAGGCUGCUGGACUUAGGUCUAGCGAGAACCUUGACAACUGCAUAGAUUAGUCGAAUAGGUAGUUCGACAUAGAUGAGAACUUUAGUAUACGUGACUGAGAGGUCAAGCUACAAAGGGCUCAUGGUGGAUACCUAGGC